rnacentral:lncRNA from 1 species
UAAAUGAGGAUUUUGUGGUGGUGCUCUCUGGAAGACUUCCAUUGUUUCAAGUUCCUUCCAGAGAUGUGACUUUUUUGCAAAAGGCAAAACCGUGGUUGUGGCCUCCCUCAACACCAGGAGUAGAAGAACUAAGGUUAUGUUCUCUUUUCCUCUUUUGAUUGUUGUUAACUUCUUCGCUGCUCUCCUGCAACCGCGAAACCAUUUAAAAGGAACCUUAGUUAGUAAAAACUAGUGCAUAUAAGUGCUUAUAAGUUUUAUAAACCGAAGUUCUUGGAUAUUUCCUUUGAUUUGAAAAAUGAAAUUUCCUUUUUAAAAGUAAUAUUUAAAAUUUACUUGAAGAAGUUAUGAUUUGGUUCAGAGUAAGCUACGGGCUGAUAAUUGUUCUUGGAUAUUUCCUUUGAUUUGAAAAUGAAAUUUCCUUUUUACUGUCUUGAUCUGGAACAGAUCCGGUGGUGAAUUGAAAUAAACCCAAGCUUUCUCAUGGUCUAUCUUCUUGAAAAACACACCGGUCCACCCACCCACCUCUCUGAGAUGCCUCCACCACACACCCUUCCUUGAAAUCCACCUCCGGUAAGUGAUUUUCCGAGUAGUGGAGCCAUCGUCCGCUACCAAAGACACAUGAAGCCUUUUGUUUCCAUAUACAGGCACAGAGGUUUCAAGAAUGGCUCUGACCUUCUUCCUUAGAGGAGACUUCAAUCCCAUCGCCUCUCCUCAUUGCCAUUUUCGGAAAUUAGAAACUCUUAACUGUAUUACUUCAAUCCCAUCGCCUCUUAACUUCAAUCCCAUCGCCUCUCCUCAUGUAUCAACCCAUCAACUUGUAUUAAGGUAAUGCACUCCACAUUCUUUUAUCAUCCAUUCGUCUUUGUCGACUCGAAAUUCAAAGAAAAGUUCGUCUGAAGUCACGUCUGCUUCGAAUUCAAAGAUGUACAGAUGUUCCGUUAAAGGACGAAACAGAGUGUGGUAACUUGGAUUGCACGGGACAUCGAGGCUAUUCUGUUUGAUCCCAUGAUCUACAAACACGAUUCGUCCUAUACCAGCUUCAACCUCAUCUUUACUAACCAGCAAUAUGCAAGCCUUACAUGUCAUUGAUGAAGAUGAAGGCCUCUCGUUCAACUUCAUUACUAGGGAACCUCCAUUAGCUUGAUAAUUGAAGUAGUUAGGCAUUUCUUUACCGGGUAAGAACGUUACAUCAUUAGUCGAUGUCUGGAUGAUGACAUCUCUCGCUUCUUUAUUCAGUUUGAAGCAUUUGGUGAAGUUGAGAUCAAUCUUUUGAUUAAGAAAGGAGCAGUCUAGUCUCUCCAGAGACUCACAAUCUUCUGCGUCUAGCUCUGAUAAUGAACUUGGAAGAUGUGAGAGUGACAAAAGCUCUUUGCAUCCGUUGAGUACAAGACGAUGAAGACGAGAGAUUCUAUUGAUCGAUGAAGGCACUUGUUUAAUCGCAGUUCCACUGAGACACAUAAAUAUGAUGUUUGUCGAGAUCUCAGGAAAACAUUGCAUCAAGGAGCAAUCAGUGAGUUCAAGUGUUGUCAGAGAUUUCAAGUUGAUGUUGACAGGAAGAACCUCCAGCUUGCAACAUUCUCUCAAAAUCAAAGAGUGUAGUUUAUGGAGGUUUCCAAUAGAGGCAGGAAGCUCCACAAGACUUGAGCAUCUUCUAAAAUACAAGCUCUCGAGAUUAGUGGCGUUUCCAAUGGAGGAAGGGACUCCCACUAAACUUGAGCAUCUACUAAAUUCCAAAUGCCUAAGUUCUAUGCCACGAUCUCUUGCACAUGACUCCAUCUGACAUAUCUUCUCUUUCAGAGCCACUUGUUGCCUCUCCAUCUCGUCAAAAUCUUCUUUCAGAGCUAUUAUCUGUCUGUUGAAACCGUUUCCCUCCUCCAUUUUCUUUAUCUGUCUCUCGUUAAGAGCCACCAACUUGUUGAUCCUUGCCAGGGGCGCUGAAACAUUGAAACCGUGUUUCUCUAGCUCGGCGAAGGAAACCUUGAGGCUAUCUAGUUGGCUCAUGGAAACGUCAGGUUCCAGAUCCUUAAAGUUCUCCAAUAACCUGGAGAGGGCCGGGUGAGAGCAUCACUAGGCUUAAAUGAGGAUUUUGUGGUGGUGCUCUCUGGAAGACUUCCAUUGUUUCAAGUUCCUUCCAGAGAUGUGACUUUUUUGCAAAAGGCAAAACCGUGGUUGUGGCCUCCCUCAACACCAGGAGUAGAAGAACUAAGGUUAUGUUCUCUUUUCCUCUUUUGAUUGUUGUUAACUUCUUCGCUGCUCUCCUGCAACCGCGAAACCAUUUAAAAGGAACCUUAGUUAGUAAAAACUAGUGCAUAUAAGUGCUUAUAAGUUUUAUAAACCGAAGUUCUUGGAUAUUUC